rnacentral:ribozyme from 1 species
AAAAGAAAAACAAACAACAAAGAAACGAGAACGCGUUGUUUUUGUUUAUUUUCGUUUUGCUUUUUUUCUUCAAUUCAUUCGUUUUCAUCGCUUGUGUGUACAUUUGAUCCUAUAUGAUCACAAAAGAAAUCAUUAUUUGAACAAAACAAAAAAAUAAA